rnacentral:rRNA from 1 species
GACGAACGCUGGCGGCGUGCUUAACACAUGCAAGUCGAACGAAGUAGCGAACGGGUGCGUAAUACUUUGGUACCCUGCCCUCCUUUUUGGGCUAAGCCUUGGAAACGGGGUCUAAUACCGAAUUAAGGGGGGUGGGCUCGCGGCCUCUCAGCUUGUUGGUGGGGUGAUGGCCUACCAAGGCGGUGACGGGUAGCCGGCCUGAGAGGGUGACGGGCCACAUUGGGACUGAGAUACGGCCAAGACUCCGACGGGAGGAAGCAGAGGGGGAUAUUGGACAAUGGGCGAAAGCCGAAUGCAGCGAGGCCGCGGGGGGGAUGAAGGCUUUCGGGUGGUAAACCUCUGUUGUUAGGAAAACGGUAUCUAACCAGAAAGCCACGGCUAACUACGUGCCAGCAGCCGCGGUAAUAC